rnacentral:rRNA from 1 species
AUUGAACGCUGGCGGCAGGCUUAACACAUGCAAGUCGAACGAUGACUAACUAGCUUGCUAGUUAUGAUUAGUGGCGGACGGGUGAGUAACAUUUAGGAAUCUGCCUAGUAGUGGGGGAUAGCUCGGGGAAACUCGAAUUAAUACCGCAUACGACCUACGGGUGAAAGGGGGCGCAAGCUCUUGCUAUUAGAUGAGCCUAAAUCAGAUUAGCUAGUUGGUGGGGUAAAGGCCCACCAAGGCGACGAUCUGUAACUGGUCUGAGAGGAUGAUCAGUCACACCGGAACUGAGACACGGUCCGGACUCCUACGGGAGGCAGCAGUGGGGAAUAUUGGACAAUGGGGGAAACCCUGAUCCAGCCAUGCCGCGUGUGUGAAGAAGGCCUUUUGGUUGUAAAGCACUUUAAGCAGGGAGGAGAGGCUAAUGGUUAAUACCCAUUAGAUUAGACGUUACCUGCAGAAUAAGCACCGGCUAACUCUGUGCCAGCAGCCGCGGUAAUACAGAGGGUGCGAGCGUUAAUCGGAAUUACUGGGCGUAAAGCGAGUGUAGGUGGCUCAUUAAGUCACAUGUGAAAUCCCCGGGCUUAACCUGGGAACUGCAUGUGAUACUGGUGGUGCUAGAAUAUGUGAGAGGGAAGUAGAAUUCCAGGUGUAGCGGUGAAAUGCGUAGAGAUCUGGAGGAAUACCGAUGGCGAAGGCAGCUUCCUGGCAUAAUAUUGACACUGAGAUUCGAAAGCGUGGGUAGCAAACAGGAUUAGAUACCCUGGUAGUCCACGCCGUAAACGAUGUCUACUAGCCGUUGGGGUCCUUGAGACUUUAGUGGCGCAGUUAACGCGAUAAGUGGACCGCCUGGGGAGUACGGCCGCAAGGUUAAAACUCAAAUGAAUUGACGGGGGCCCGCACAAGCGGUGGAGCAUGUGGUUUAAUUCGAUGCAACGCGAAGAACCUUACCUGGUCUUGACAUAGUGAGAAUCUUUCAGAGAUGAGAGAGUGCCUUCGGGAAUUCACAUACAGGUGCUGCAUGGCUGUCGUCAGCUCGUGUCGUGAGAUGUUGGGUUAAGUCCCGCAACGAGCGCAACCCUUUUCCUUAUUUGCCAGCGGGUUAAGCCGGGAACUUUAAGGAUACUGCCAGUGACAAACUGGAGGAAGGCGGGGACGACGUCAAGUCAUCAUGGCCCUUACGACCAGGGCUACACACGUGCUACAAUGGUAGGUACAGAGGGUUGCUACACAGCGAUGUGAUGCUAAUCUCAAAAAGCCUAUCGUAGUCCGGAUUGGAGUCUGCAACUCGACUCCAUGAAGUCGGAAUCGCUAGUAAUCGCAGAUCAGAAUGCUGCGGUGAAUACGUUCCCGGGCCU